rnacentral:rRNA from 1 species
UACAGAGGGGGCAAGCGUUGUUCGGAAUUACUGGGCGUAAAGGGCGCGUAGGCGGCCUUCUAAGUCGAACGUGAAAUCCCUGGGCUCAACCCAGGAACUGCGUCCGAUACUGGGAGGCUUGAAUCCGGGAGAGGGAUGUGGAAUUCCAGGUGUAGCGGUGAAAUGCGUAGAUAUCUGGAGGAACAUCGGUGGCGAAGGCGGCAUCCUGGACCGGUAUUGACGCUGAGGCGCGAAAGCCAGGGGAGCAAACGGG